GAUAAACGCUAGCGGCAGGCUUAACACAUGCAAGUCGAGGGGCAGCAUAGAUUGUAGCAAUACAAUUGGUGGCGACCGGCGCACGGGUGCGUAACGCGUAUGCAACCUACCCGUCACAGGGGGAUAAUCCGGAGAAAUCUGGCCUAAUACCCCAUAACAUAUGGAUCGGCAUCGGUUCAUGUUGAAAUUUUCGGAGGUGACGGAUGGGCAUGCGUAGCAUUAGCUUGUUGGUGAGGUAACGGCUCACCAAGGCGACGAUGCUUAGGGGGACUGAGAGGUUUUCCCCCCACACUGGUACUGAGCCACGGACCAGACUCCUACGGGAGGCAGCAGUGAGGAAUAUUGGUCAAUGGGCGCAAGCUUGAACCAGCCAUGCCGCGUGCAGGAUGACGGCUCUAUGAGUUGUAAACUGCUUUUGUACGAGGGUAAAGUGGGUUACGUGUAACCUUUUGAAAGUAUCGUACGAAUAAGGAUCGGCUAACUCCGUGCCAGCCGCCGCCGUAA
rnacentral:rRNA from 1 species